UACGGGGGGGGUAAGCGUUGUUCGGAAUUACUGGGCGUAAAGGGCUCGUAGGCGGCCAACUAAGUCAGACGUGAAAUCCCUCAGCUUAACUGGGGAACUGCGUCUGAUACUGGAUGGCUUGGAUUCGGGAGAGGAAUGCGGAAUUCCUGGUGUAGCGGUGAAAUGCGCAGAUAUCAGGAGGAACACCAAUGGCGAAGGCAGCUCACUGGGACGGUAUUGACGCUGAGACGCGAAAGCGUGGGGAGCAAACAGG
rnacentral:rRNA from 1 species